rnacentral:rRNA from 1 species
GACGAACGCUGGCGGCGUGCUUAACACAUGCAAGUCGAACGGAAAGGCCCUGCUUUUGUGGGGUGCUCGAGUGGCGAACGGGUGAGUAACACGUGAGUAACCUGCCCUUGACUUUGGGAUAACUUCAGGAAACUGGGGCUAAUACCGGAUAGGAGCUCCUGCUGCAUGGUGGGGGUUGGAAAGUUUCGGCGGUUGGGGAUGGACUCGCGGCUUAUCAGCUUGUUGGUGGGGUAGUGGCUUACCAAGGCUUUGACGGGUAGCCGGCCUGAGAGGGUGACCGGGGACAAGGGGGCAAUGGUACGCACCGGACGGAGACGGGAGGAAGCAGCGGGGAGUAGGGGACGAUGGGCGGGAGCCGGAUGAAAGCGCGCCCCGGGGGGGAUGAAGGCGGGAGGGUUAGAGACCGCAUUAGCCUGAGACGAUGCGUGCGGGACGGGAAUGGGAAAAGAAGAACCGGCUAACUACGUC